GUUUUGUAAAGGCUCUUGCUUGCCGGAGGCUGGGUCACGUAGCUCCUGUGCGUCUAUUUCCGCUUCUGUGCAGUGAUAGGUGCUGAGCCUACGGUGGUGGACUGGUGUCCUGGUCACGGUGUCCCUUUUGUAUUGUGUUUGCAUUUGGUUUAUUUUUCAUUUGUUUUACGUGUGGUGUUCCUGGGACCCCCUUUCCUUUGGAUGCAGGUGUUCACAGUAGGUCUCAGCACUGAUUGGAUCUCAGCACCCAAUUUCCCUCCUUAGUGAGUAAUUCUCUAGUUUUAAGAACAGACAUUUUGUAUAAAUAAACGUAUUUUUGUAUGAUCGAA